UUUCUUUUAAUUUUAUCUAAGAUGAUCAUUUAUAAAUGAAAAUAUUUAAUACUAUUUUUACCAGUGGCAUGUUUUUAUUUUAUUUUUUUGAGAAUAAAUAUUACAAAACAAAACAUUAGAUAAGCAAGUAUAACUUUUUAUUCGUACAGACAAUCCACAGCAAAAGACUUUCUCCAAAUAAAAAACAUAUAUAAAAGAAAGACUUCUGAAUUCACACUAUACGCAACAAGCACACAUAGAUCAACAACACAAGACAAGGCCCUUGAAACUGAAGAAGCGGCAGAAGCAGCAGAGAAUUAAUUAAGCUUGAGCUGGAGAGGGAGCAGGAGAAAUUGCACGACAGUAGCUCAAGAGUAUGUUGCUUUGCUGGGGUGUGUAUCCGAACCAAGGAAGAGUGCUAGGCCAGGCGCAUUUUCUUGUGACGUUUUCGAUGGCUCCGCAGCAGGGACCAACAUUGGUCAUGCCAGUAAAGAAGAAUUGGUAAAUCACGGCCAAGCAUUUGUUCAAUUCUUGAUAUGCCUUCAAGCACUCAAUGAACUGGCCUCCAGGCCCUCCACUGGCUUGAAGCCCUUCUUUAAGAUUGUAGCUAGCUGCCUUAUUCAUGGCACUUGCAUUUGCAACGAGACUUGUUAUCAGAAACAAAAUGAUGAGAAACAAAUUUUUGAGAGCCAUUGGUGACUGAACUAAUAAUUAACCUUUUGAUUAAUUUUCUUUGUAGUUGUUUGCUAUGGGAUGAACGAAACUUGAUACUUUUUGAGGGUUUUUAUAUAGAGAAUGAUCAUGUACACAACUCGAUUUGAAGUCAAAAUGUGCCUCUGUUAAUUAAUGCUAAUGACAGUUGAAUAACAGCAAGUUUAAUCACUUGAUUUUAUUAAUUUGUUUUAUUUUUUAAUUGAGCCCGAAAUGGGCUAUAAAAUAUUUUGCAAUAAUUAAUAGGUAAAAAGAAUUACAAAAUCAGCCGCAAGCCAAAAAAAAUUAAUUAAUUAAGUUCAAAACGAAUAAAUUAUUAACUCUAACUAUCAUAUAGAUUGUUUAAUUUGUUUUAACUAUUGUCGAAUGAAUUUUACUAGUGUUAUGUUUUUGUGCAAUAAACUGUACGUGCUGAACGUGAUAGUUUAUUUAAAAUUUCUAACGAUUUAUUAAUUAUAUUUGUUACUAAUUAAUUAUAUUUAAAGAUUUUUCCUUAAAUGCUAAAUAUUUGCAAAACGUGCAGCUAAUGAGAGAAUUACAAAGAAAAUAAUACUUGAAGAAGAAAAGUGAUAAGAGAAUUACAAAGAAGCAACACGGCAAAAUAAAUUAUCUGUAAGGAAGGAAUAAAUGCACUCGAAUAAUUACGGAGGGCACUUGAUUAUCGUGGUAAGAAUUUGAUUACGGGGUAACGUGCGCGGCAGUGGGAUUUGUAGGUCUUGAUGUGAAUCCCACGGUGAGGAUUCCACAAGCGGAUGGUGCGGUCCUUGCCGCAACUCAGACAAUAAUUACCGUCGCCGUUGAACCGAGCGGCUAAAACUGCGCCUUCGUGGCCCUUGAGCACGUUAGCCUCUGUCCUCGGAAGAUCGGAUACGCUCAUCUUUUUGCUUCUUUGAGCGGGAACGAGUUAUCGGGCGCCGUUGCGAUGGAAAAAGCAUAAACAAUUCGAAAUUGAGAGCUUUUAUUGUUAUUUUGUUUUUAAAGUACCGUAAAUAAAGUUGGAGCCCCUGAAUCUUUAUGUAAUUAUAGUAAAACCGAAAAUUACAUUGAUUGUUAACUUAGGUUCCUGAUUUGAUAUAGUGAUAUAGCGAUUUGUCAUGUCUGGUUUAAGGAUCACCGAUGAUGAUUCGACCCUUGUAUCCCUACAAAUUUUUAUGCAAAUAUUGAUUUUAUGAUUUUUUUUAAAGGAACAUGAAUGCUACAUUUAUUUAUAGGGUGUGACUCGGGCACUAUUAAAUGAUUAAAAAAUCAAUAAAAUCUAAUUAUGUAACUUUGGUGAAACUAUGCCAUAUGGUGCCCAUAUAAUACUACAAUCAUAGUCUUUUUAUUGUUAAUAUACUGCAGUGUCUUCGAUCAGCAUAUGGUUAUAAAAAGAAAAUUAAAUUGUCAUUUUAAUACGAUGUGUCUAACUAAAUAGAAAUAAAUUAUAUUGAUUUUUUAUUCUGGCUACAUUUUUUAUUUUAUUAUUUUGUAAUAAUUUAGUUUCCUCCAACAUUCUAAAUAAAUCAAAUAAUUAAAAUUAAAUAAAAUUUGGAAAGAUUUAUACAAGAGAAUAAACUGCAAGAAGGAAGAAAUGAUUUGGAACAAACAUAGAAAAGAACAAUUUACAUAUUUAAGAGUUUUACUAAAUAUAGUGUAAGAGAGAUUGUAACAUUUUUCAAUCUUUGGUUUGAUAUUCUGGAAGAAAACGGUUUGCCGUUUAUGGAGAAAACAGCUAACCGUUUCAUUCCAGAGAGCAUGUUUUCUGUUCUAGAGAAAACGGCUAACCGUUUGGAGAAAACGGCUCACCGUUUGGAGAAAACGGCUCACCGUUUGGAUAAAACGACUAACCGUUUGGAGAAAACGGCUAAUUGUUCAUUUCCAGAGAGCAUGUUUUAUGUUCUAGAGAAAACGGCUAACCGUUUAUUUACAGAGAGCAACUUAUUUGACAUUAUGGAAUAAAACGGCUUACCGUUAUUGAGAAAACGGCUAACCGUUUAUUUUCAGAGAUCGUGUUUUUGCGUCAAAUGGAAAAACGGUUAGCAAGCUUGGAAAUUUCAAUUGUCAUUCGAUGCAAAUUCAAACCAAAAGAGUGUUUUUUGAAGAAGUACCAUUUCUAAUGGUUGUAUUCUUUCAAAUAAACAUCUUCUUUAUUAAAAGAGAGACAUACAAUUAGAUUAUAAUUAGAUUUUGCAGAUUUCAUGUAUGUUCUGGAAAUACAAUCUUAUUUGCUAGAGAUUGUAUUCAGGAUUUGAUAUAUCUUAGGGGUACUUUGCCAUUAAAACUUUAUAGCAAACCAUGAUUGGUGAGGGCAAAUAAAACCUUAAAGGAAAGUGUGCAAACAUGUCUCAAAUCCUAAGAAAUUUUUCUUUGUUCUUUGCCUCCAUUUUUGAAAAAUCACCAACAAUCUUUAAGGUUUUAAUUUGAUGCAAAUGGAGGCUGAGAAGAGUUUGACGUCAUUUCUAAAUCCUAGUGUCCAUCUCGAUCGUUUUGAUGGAACUAAUUUCACUCGUUGGAAGGGAAAAUUAUUCUUUCUUCUUACUGUUCUUAAAGUGGCAUAUGUUCUUGAUCCAAAAUUGGAACCAUUUCCAGAACCAAGAGAAGAUGAUACCGAAGUUGCUAAGGCUGCAAGGAAACGUCGUGAAGAUGAUGAAUUGAUGUGCCAGGGCAUAUACUCAAUACGCUUUCUGACAGGUUAUAUGAUCUCUACAAUUCUAUGACUUCUCCGGUGGAAAUUUGAAAUGCUCUUGAGUACAAAUACAAAACGGAGAAAGAAGGUACUGGCAAAUUCAUUGUCUAUAAAUAUCUUGAAUUUUUAUGGUAGACACAAAAUCCAUUCUUGAUCAAAUACAUGAGUUACAAAUUAUUGUUGCUAAACUUCGAGAGUUAAAAGUUGAAAUUUCUGAAUCAUUUCAAGUUGGGGCUAUUAUUGCUAAAUUGCCUCAAAGUUGGAAUGAUUAUAGAAAGAAACUCCUUCAUAGUAAAGAGAACAUAACUUUAGAAGAAUUGCAAAAACACUUAGUAAUUGAAGAAGAGACUAGGUUUCGCGAAUCCAAGGAUAAGCAUGAUUCUACUAAAGUUAAUGUUGUUGAAACUAGUAAAUUCUCAAAGAAUUUUAAAGUCAAGAAUGACAAGAAAUUCAAGAAGUCCAGCACACAAAAGUUUUCUAGAAAUUGUUUCUUUUGUGGUAAGAAAGACCAUCGCCAAAGUGAUUGCAGAUUCAAGAAGAAAAAUGAAGAAGUGAAUUCCCAUAAAGCUAAUGUUAUUGAAAACAAAUCUGAAGAGAUUUGUGCUAUGGUUUCUGAAAUGCAAAUUGGCAUGAUUACCGAAACUAAUAUGGCUGAAACUAAGUCCUAUGAUUGGUGGCUCGAUUCGGGUGCAACAAUUCAUGUUUGUAAUGAUAAGAAAUUUUUCUUAUCAUACAAAGAAGAAAUAAAAGGACAAAUGGUUCUCAUGGGGAACAAUAAUGCAGCCAUAGUAGUAGGGAAAGGAGUAGUUGAGAUCAACUUCACUUCUGGAAAGAAAGUCACAUUGUAUAAUGUCUUUCAUGUACCUUCCGUUAGGAAGAAUCUUAUUUCUGCUAGUUGUAUGUGUAAGCAUGGGCUUAAAAUUGUGCUUGAGGGUAAUACUUGUAUUAUCUCAAAGAAUGGAUUAUUUGUUGGGAAAGGGUAUUCUUGUGAUGGAAUGUACAAACUCAGCAUUAAUAAUAAUAAUAUCAACUUAGCUUAUAUUGUUGAGUCUUGUGAUGUUUGGCAUGCUAGAUUAGCACAUUUGAAUUUUAGAUCUUUGAAAUACAUGUCUAAGCAUGAUUUGAUUAAUUGCAAUGAUGUUAAAGGUCAUAAGUGUGAAAUCUACAUCCAAGCUAAAUUAACUAAGAAACAUUUUCCUAAAGCCGAACAAAAUACUCAAAUAUUGGAUUUAAUACAUACCGAUAUUUGUGAGUAUAAUGGAGUUUUAACAAGAGGAGGUAAGAGGUACUUUAUCACUUUUAUUGAUGAUUGUUCUAGAUACACUUAUGUGUAUUUACUUAGAACAAAAAAUGAAGCUUUUAAUAAAUUUAAAAAUUUCAAAGCUGAAGUUGAGAACCAAAAAGAUAAGAAAAUCAAAAUGGUUCGUAGUGAUAGAGGUGGUGAAUAUUUCUCAAUUGAAUUUAAUAAUUAUUGUGAAGAAUUUGGAAUUAUUCACUAAAGAUCAACUCCAUUUACUCCUCAACAAAAUGGUUUGGCUGAAAGAAAGAAUAGGAUCUUCACGGAUAUGAUAAAUUCCAUGAUCCUUAAUGCAAAACUACCGAAUAAUUUGUGGGGGGAAGCAUUGCUCACUGCAUGUCAUAUUCAUAACAGAAUUACAUCUUUGAAAACACAUAAAUCUCCUUAUGAAAUUUGGAAAGGAAGAAAACCAAACUUGAUGUAUUUAAGGGUCUGGGGUUGUUUAGCUUUUUAUAAAAUACAUGAUCCUAAAUCAUCAAAGUUAAGUGCUAGAGGUAUAAAGAGUGUUUUCGUAGGAUAUGCUGAAAAUUCCAAGGCUUAUAGGUUGUUAGAUUUAGAUUCUAAUAUGAUUGUGGAAUCUAGAGAUGUUGAAUUUAUUGAGAAUAAAUUUCAACAUGAUUAGAAUAUUGAAUUAGAAUCAAUUAUUGAUCAACCAUGUGUUAAUACUCCUAUUACCUCCACUAACAAUAAUAAAAGGAAAGAGUCUAUGACAUCUUUCGAACCAAGGAGGAGUCAACGUGAAAAGAAAGAAAAGAGUUUAGCUUCGGAUUUUAUUUCAUCGCAAGCACUACUCUUCUUGGUUGAAGGGGAUAGAAAGAAUGUACUUAACAAAGUACCAUUGUUGUUAAAUAUUGAAAAAGAUCCAAAGACAUUUAGCGAAGCUAUGUUUUCUAGAGACGCUUCUUUUUGGAGAGAGGCGGUAAAUGAUGAAAUGGAUUCGAUUAUUUCGAAUCAAACAUGGGUCUUGGUUGAUUUUCCUCCAGGAUCUAAACCAAUUAGCAGCAAAUGGGUAUUUAGAAGAAAGUACAAUAGUGAUGGUUCUUUGCAAACUUUUAAGGCUAGAUUAGUAGCCAAAUGGUUUAAGCAAAGAAAUGGUAUUGAUUAUUUCGAUACAUAUGCUCCGAUAGCAAGGUUAACUUCUAUAAGAGUGUUAUUUGCAAUUGCUUUAUUAAACAAUUUGUAUGUACAUCAAAUGGAUGUUAAAAUCGCUUUUCUUAAUGGUGAUCUUGAUGAAGAAAUCUAUAUGGAACAACCUGAGGGAUUUGUUUUGCCAGGAAAUGAGAAAAAGGUAUGCAAGUUAGUCAAAUCACUUUAUGGUUUAAAGCAAGCACCAAAACAAUGGCAUGAGAAGUUUGAUUCAGUAAUUUUAUCUCAUGGUUUUAAGCAAAAUAAUGCUGAUAAAUGUAUAUAUUUUAAAUUUACGAAUGAUUUUGGUGUGAUUAUAUGCUUGUAUGUUGAUGACUUACUUAUCUUUGGAACAAAUAUGCAAGGAGUAGAUGAUACAAAGAAGUAUUUAACUUCACAAUUUAAGAUGAAAGAUCUUGGUGAAGUAGAUAUUAUCUUAGGUGUCAAAGUGAAGAAAUAUAGUGGGGGUUACUCGUUGUGUCAAUCUCAUUAUAUAGAGAAAGUGCUUCUUAAAUUCAAUUAUUUGAAAUUUAAAGAAGCUAAUACCCCAUAUGAUUCUAUUAUUAAAUUACUAGAGAAUUCAGGCCGAGUAGUAGCACAACUAGAAUAUGCUAGAGCUAUUGGUAUCUUGAUGUAUGCUAUGCAUUGUACGAGGCCUGAUAUAUCAUUUGCAGUUUGCAAAAUGUCAAGAUUCACGAGUAACCCUAGUGUUGAACACUGGAAAGCAAUUGGUAGGAUACUUGGUUAUCUUAAAAGGACCAUUAAUUUGGGUUUGUUUUAUAAUGAUUAUCCUGAAGUACUGGAAGGAUAUUCAGAUGCUAGUUGGGUAACCAAUACAAGAGAUAAUAAAUCCACUUCUGAUUGAAUUUUUACAAUUGCUGGAGGAGCGGUUGCUUAGGCUUUAAAGAAACAAACGUACAUAACUCAUUCAACAAUGGAAAGUGAGUUUAUAGCACUUGCAGCUGCAGGCAAGAAAGUAAAAUGGCUGAGAAAUUUGUUGUUUGAUAUAAUGUUGUGGCCACAACCGAUGCCAUCUAUUUCUUUGUACUGCAAUAGUGAAGUUACAUUGUCUAGAGUUUAUAAUAAAGUGUAUAAUGGAAAGUCUAGACAUAUUAGCUUGAGACAUGAAUAUGUGAAACAAUUAAUAGCAGAUGGUGUUAUUAAUAUUGUUUAUGUUAGGACUAAUAAGAACCUAGCGGAUCCUUUAACAAAAGGUCUUACAAGAGACUUAGUUAAGGAUACAUCUUUUGGAAUGGGAUUGAAACCUUUAAAUAAUAAAGUCACCAACGACGGUAACCCAACUAUGUAGUAGUUGUACCGCUACUCCAUAGUUAAAUGGGUAAUAACAAGUUGUUGUUAUGUGACUGGUUUGGCACCGAGUAAUAAAUAAUCCCAUUCGAGAUAUUCGGUGCAAAUAGCUACGAGGUUGAGGUUGAGUAUUUACUCUUAAUGAAGUUCAAGUCUUAUAGUGGCUAAAGACAUGAUUUGAAACUUCACCUAAGUGAACAUACGAAAUGGUGCCGUUUCUAACAAGAUCAUAGUUUAAUCUUGUAAAUGUUCAUGAAUCCAAGAUAGAGCACAAGGCCGGAAUAGUGCUAAAUUUUGGAACACAACUUUGAAAAUCUGGGAUAGCUUAUAUGUGAUGUAUCUCCGGUAUUUACUUAAGAGACAAAGUUUAAUGCUUAGCACACUAUUGUCUUGUAAAUGCUUUGAAAUACACUCAUUAAUUAAAGGUUAAAAUCGAAAGAUACCUUUUUGUAUGUAUAAGUUUAUCAUUAAUAAAUCUGAAAAAUAUUACAAUCUAGUGGGGGAUUGUAAGAGAGAUUGUAACAUUUUUCAAUCUUUGGUUUGAUAUUCUGGAAGAAAACGGUUUGCCGUUUAUGGAGAAAACAGCUAACCGUUUCAUUCCAGAGAGCAUGUUUUCUGUUCUAGAGAAAACAACUAACCGUUUGGAGAAAACGGCUCACCGUUUGGAUAAAACGACUAACUGUUUGGAGAAAACGGCUAACUGUUCAUUUCCAGAGAGCAUGUUUUCUGUUCUAGAGAAAACGGCUAACCGUUUAUUUAUAGAGAGCAACUUAUUUGACAUUCUGGAAUAAAACGGCUCACCGUUAUUGAGAAAACGGCUAACCAUUUUUUUCCAGAGAGCGUGUUUUUGCGUCAACUGGAAAAACGGUUAGCAAGCUUGGAAAUUUCAAUUGUCAUUCGAUGCAAAUUCAAACCAAAAGAGUGUUUUUGAAGAAGUACCAUUUCUAAUGGUUGUAUUCUUUCAAAUAAACAUCUUCUUAUUAAAAGAGAGACAUACAAUUAGAUUAUAAUCAGAUUUUGCAGAUUUCAUGUAUGUUCUGGAAAUACAAUUUUAUUUGCUAGAGAUUGUAUUCAGGAUUUGAUAUAUCUUGGGGGUACUUUGCCAUUAAAACUUUAUAGCAAACUAAGAUUGGUGAUGGCAAAUAAAACCUUAAAGGAAAGUGUACAAACACGUCUCAAAUCCUAAGAAAUUUUUCUUUGUUCUUUGCCUCCAUAUUCGAAAAAUCACCAACAUAUAGUACAUAAAAAUGAAACUUGCACUAGUAAAUAUAACUCACAAAAUUCUUAAGCUUGGCAAAAUAAAAAUUUCGAAUACAUGCAUAAGUUUUUCAUAUUUUGUUUCUUUAUUUUGAUUAAGACGAUCAUUUAUAUAUAUAAAAUGUAAGUAUUUAAUCUAUUUUUGUAUAAUAAAACAGUUUUGAAUCUUCUUCUCAUGGUUAUACUCCAAAAUAUUCUAUGGUAAUGGACAAUGAAUAUAACCAGUGUUUCUAACUUUCUACUGCCCACCUUGCUUCGUUCGAGGUUUUUAAUUAAAUAUUCCUUAAAAGUAGGGUAUUUAGUUAAAUAUACCCCAUGCUUGAAAAUUAUCUAGAUAUACCUUUUUUAUGUGGUACAUUGUCUAAAAUAUCCCUAAAGAAAAAUAUAAAACACACACAACUCACAACACUCUUUACUUUUCGCUCUUUUUAACUCCACACAACAAAAACUCACACCACACUCAAAAUAACUCACAAACAGCUAAUGCACUGAGAUUUUUGUUUGCAGUUGGGUGUAUUAUUCAUCCCAUGAAUAAGGUAUUUCAAACUUUUUUUUUAUUUUGUGUUAUCUAUUCAAUUUGUUGACAUUAUAUUAUUUUUAGGGUUUUGUUUGGUUUGUGAUAAACACUAAAGCAACUCAUAUUUUCAUUACAUUUGCAUCAUAUGACUGUUAUUUGAUGGAUUUUAUAAAUACAUUCGUUAAAACCUGAAAUUGUUGUCAAAAUUUUUUUCUGCACCCGACAUACACGACAGCAGUCGUGUAUGUAUGUAUUUACACAACUGUAGUCGUGAAAAUGUGCAAAAAAUUCCAAUUAUUAUGACACCUUAUCAUUCUAUUGGUUCAAAAAAUAUAUAUUUUUUUCACUAUAUAUAUCAUUUUACUAUUACUGGACUAUAGUCGUGUGUGUUAAUAAGUUACACGACUAUUAGCGUGUAUGUAUGAACUUGCAUACUAUAAUUGUGUAUAUAUGUAAAAUGUUCCAAUUGUUAUGAGAUCCCAACAUUUUUUUAAGAAAAAAUAUGUCCUCUGAUUAUUUACUGAGUCAUGUAUUUUUGCAAUUUACACGACUUCUGUCAUGUAUGUAUGAAAUUACACGACAACAAUCGUGCAAGUUUGAAAGAUAUAGUAGCUGUUAUAACACCUAGCAUUCUGUUAGUACAAAGAUUACAAUUUUUUUUUACUAAAUAUAUCAUCUGACUGUUUACAGAACUAUAGUUGUGUAUUUUAGCAAGUUACACAACUAUUGUCAUGUAAACUAGCAAUUACACGACGUCAGUCGUAUAAAUAGGCAGACAGAUCCACACUUCGUUAUAUACCUUGUUUGAUUUUGUUUUUGUAUUUGUUGUAUAAUCAACUGUUGUAUUAUUGCAGGAAAUAACUUCAAUACGUGUGCCUAUUAUGUUUUGUGGUGAAUAGAUUAAGCAAAACGACCAUUAUAGAUUUAAUGGUACAGAGGCAAGAGAGAUUAUGGUGCCCCGUUCUACAACAUAUGUUGUUUUAGGCUUGGUGAUAUCAGAGAAGAUUGGGUUGAAGAUGCAAAAAAAAAAUUAUGAUGAUUGUUAAACAACUUCUACUGUAUUACGACUUAUUUACGAUUCGAAUAAGUAUUGGAUUUAUGUUGUUUGAUAGGCAACCAGACUACAGUUAAUUUCAUUUAUUUGAAGUUUGAUAUGUUAAAGUCUAUAUUGAUUGUGUCAUCAAUAUAAUGAAUGUUUUAGAUAAUUUUUUAUUUUGUGUCCACAUACCCAAGUAUAAUCGUGUAUUUUGGCUGUUACAGAACUGAUCAUGUUUAUUUGUAAAUACGCGACUGCAGUCGUGUAUCUGUGCAAAUACCCGACUGCAGUCGUGUAUUUUCUUACAGAGAGCGUCAUGUUUAUUUGUAAAUACGCGACUGCAGUCGUGUAUCUGUGCAAACACCCGACUGCAGUCGCGUAUAUGUUCAAACACCCGACUGCAGUCUCGUAUUUUCUCACAGAGAGCUUGUCAUGUUUAUUUGUCAAUACUCGAUUGCAGUCGUGUAUCUAUGCAAAUACCCGACUACAGUCAUGUAUUUUCUCACAGAGAGUUUGUCAUGUUUAUUUGUCAAUACUCGACUGCAGUCGUGUAUAUGUGCAAAUACCCGACUGCAGUUGUGUAUUUUCUUACAGCGUAUUUCCUGUGCAUAUAUGGCAAUCAUGUUAUAUCACAUAGAUUAUACAAACUAUCUUAUAUAUUAUUAAUAUAAUUAACAAAGAAAUAAAAUAUAUUAAUGAUGUCAAGUUAUCUUUAAUGACAUCAAAUAUCAACAACAUCUUCAUCAUAACUAUUACAUCUCAUAAUCCAAAAAAUAACACUACAAAGUUUUUUUCCAUGACCAAUGCCCAAAUAAUUUUAGGCUUCGCCACACGCUCUACAACGCUUUUUCUCAAACUACCAAUGGUCAUCUUGAAAGAAAUGCGUCCCCAUGGAAAUUCAUUAAACUCGGUAAAAUUGUCCACAAGGAGUACAUUAGUUUCAUUUAUAUGAUUUCUAUUCUCCUUUCCAAGUAACACAGACUCAACAAAACAAUGCACAGCCAGCUUGACCAUUUUCAUGUCAUCAUUUGACUUAGCCCGCAAGAACUUUGUACGAAGUUCUUUUGUUGUGAUUGCACAAUUUCUAUCUAGGAAUUCAUCAACUAUUCUGUAAUCAUCGUCAUUAUUUUCAGUUUCGGGCUCAUACGAUGGACUGUAAUCUAAGCCUGUCACCAAGGCAAACUCCUCCAAUGAAAAUAGAAUAUUUUUUCGUCCGAGCCUAAACCACAUUGCAUUUUCAUCUGAUUUCACUUCUCUCAAUAAUAUGUUGUAGAGUAACUGAGCAGAAAACUUUAACUCUUUCACAUCCAAAAAAUGAUCGAAACAGGAACGUUUGAAAAUAUUUUUCUGCGCCUCAGAGAGUCUAUCUUUAAUGUCCUUCACUGCCUCUAGUGAUGAUCGAUUUAAAAUCUUUGCUUUGAAGUAUUCAGAUUCCUUGAUCUUCAGUUCCAUCUGCAUAAAUACAAAAAAAUUUAUCAAUCAAUAUAUAAAAUGAUUGAAAAGUUGCAUAAUAAUAGAUUUUAAACCAAUCAUAAAAAUUACACGACAUACCAGUCGAGUAAAUCAUACAUUGCACGACUACAGUCCAGUAAAACAUGCAUUGAACUAUAGUCCACUAUAAAAACCAUAGAUUCUUUGUAACAUUGGAAAUAAAAUGUUCAUGCCCAAUGCAUAUCCAAUGAAGAAUUCUUUACAAACUACAGUCGAGUAAAAAACUAAUUAUGCAAAUAUAGUGGAGUAAAGUGUUCAUACCCGACUACUGUCGAGUAAAGUAUUCUUCACACAACAGCAGUCGUGUAAAGAAUUCUUUACACAACUGUUGUCGAGUAAAGAAUUCUUUACACGACUCUAGGGUAAAAGUCAGGUAAAGAAAUGCUUUACACAACUGCAUUGGAGAACUCUUUACACGACUCUAGGGUAAAAAUCAAGUAAAGAAAUUCUUUACACAACUGCAUUGGAGGUUAGAUUAUAAUAACAACUAAAAAAAGCCACCUAAACUUUCAAAAUUAAAACAAUAAAAUAAAUAAACAAAUAUGCAAAACCUGGGGAGGUCCCUGAACUACAACGACAAAUGACGGUGGUUCACCGUAAAAGCGGUCUAUAGUCGGAAUGUGAAGCCGACUUUGCUCUUUCUCUACUCUCGUGACUGUAAUCGCUUGGCUUUCACAGAUGAUGUAAAAGCAAAUGCCUAAAAGAUAAUAACAAUAACAAAAAUUAAAUUCAGCAAUAGUAAUUAUUUUAUUUAUAUAAAUGAGGGGGGGGGGGGGAAUAAAGUAAAUAACAAUUGACGACCUUACGGUUUUUUUUCUUAUCAUGUUUAUUUUUUAUCGGAUUUGGACUUAUUUUUUGCAGAAAAGCCCAAUUUGUGAGUCAUGUGUGCCUGUGCUUUUGCAGCGGUUGUGGCAACGGAGAGUUGGGAGAAGAGAGUAAGGCGCUGGGUUUAGGGGACGGUGAAGAAUAAGAGGAGAGCAAAGCGCCAAUGGCGCGCGAAGCGCAUGCGGAACGGGCACGGAGAGAAAUCAGUGUGGAGGAGAAGCAGCCGAGCUCAUUCACUUCGCUUCCUGGGCCAAAGCAGUGCAGUUUUUCCUGGCCAAAUCAAGGAUUGCUAGUUAAGAAUGUUCUUUGGGCGGAGAGAGAGAGCUUUGUAUCUCUGAAGAAGAGACAGUAAUCAAUUGGAAGAAGAACGAAUGCGAUGGUCUAGGGUGUGCGGGAUGGGCGCUCCUCUAUUUUUGUAACUGGGUUCUGGUCUUUGAACUCGAAACAGAAGAAACAAAUAGAAACAUUGAGGGCGCUAUAUUGUGAAUGCUUUUGGGAAAUAAGAUUUUUAAUUAGGGUAAUUUAGUACUUGCACAAAAUAAAAGGUAUACAUGCGGAAAUUUAAAAUAUGGGGGUGUAUCUGGAUAAAUAACCUAUUUUAAGAGCAUAGCCGGGACAAAUCCCUGACUUCGUUCUCUCUCAAUAUUAAAUUGUUCAUCAUUUAACUUAUUUUGAAGUGGGUACACCGUUCUACGUCCCUCUUAGCUAACUUCAUUCUUGAUAUUAAAGCUUUGAUCAUUUGAAGUCUUGACUGAUUUUGAAGUGCGCACAAUUUUGUUUUAUUUUGUAAUAAUUUGGUUUCCUCCGACAUUUUAAAUAAGUGUAGUAAUUAAAAUUAAAUAAAUUUUUGGAAAGGUUUAUACAAAAGAGGGAAUUAAUUAUAUAAGAAGGAAGAAAAAGAUUAAAUAGAAAUAUAUACAAGAAUUUUUUGUUUUUUUAAUGUUUGGAGUUUUAGUCAUAUGGCAAAAUAAAAAUGAAAUUUAUGUGAUGCCAAAUCAAGAAAUUCCUAAUACAUGAAUCAGUUUUUCCAUUUCUUUUUUCUUUUAAUUUUAUCUAAGAUGAUCAUUUAUAAAUGAAAAUAUUUAAUACUAUUUUUACCAGUGGCAUGUUUUUAUUUUAUUUUUUUGAGAAUAAAUAUUACAAAACAAAACAUUAGAUAAGCAAGUAUAACUUUUUAUUCGUACAGACAAUCCACAGCAAAAGACUUUCUCCAAAUAAAAAACAUAUAUAAAAGAAAGACUUCUGAAUUCACACUAUACGCAACAAGCACACAUAGAUCAACAACACAAGACAAGGCCCUUGAAACUGAAGAAGCGGCAGAAGCAGCAGAGAAUUAAUUA
rnacentral:lncRNA from 1 species